rnacentral:rRNA from 1 species
UACGAAGGGUGCAACCGUUGCUCGGAAUUAUUGGGCGUAAAGCGCACGUAGGCGGCUUAGCAAGUCGGAUGUGAAAUCCCUCGGCUCAACCAAGGAAGUGCAUCCGAAACUGCUGAGCUUGAGUACGAAAGAGGAUCGCGGAAUUCCCGGUGUAGAGGUGAAAUUCGUAGAUAUCGGGAGGAACACCAGUGGCGAAGGCGGCGAUCUGGGUCGAUACUGACGCUGAGGAGCGAAAGCGUGGGGAGCGAACAGG